CCCUUGAAAUACCACCCUUUAAUGGCUGGUGUUCUAACGUAGACCCGUGAUCCGGGUUGCGGACAGUGUCUGGUGGGUAGUUUGACUGGGGCGGUCUCCUCCCAAAGAGUAACGGAGGAGCACGAAGGUUGGCUAAUCCUGGUCGGACAUCAGGAGGUUAGUGCAAUGGCAUAAGCCAGCUUGACUGCGAGCGUGACGGCGCGAGCAGGUGCGAAAGCAGGUCAUAGUGAUCCGGUGGUUCUGAAUGGAAGGGCCAUCGCUCAACGGAUAAAAGGUACUCCGGGGAUAACAGGCUGAUACCGCCCAAGAGUUCAUAUCGACGGCGGUGUUUGGCACCUCGAUGUCGGCUCAUCACAUCCUGGGGCUGAAGUAGGUCCCAAGGGUAUGGCUGUUCGCCAUUUAAAGUGGUACGCGAGCUGGGUUUAGAACGUCGUGAGACAGUUCGGUCCCUAUCUGCCGUGGGCGCUGGAGAAUUGAGGGGGGCUGCUCCUAGUACGAGAGGACCGGAGUGGACGCAUCACUGGUGUUCGGGUUGUCAUGCCAAUGGCACUGCCCGGUAGCUAAAUGCGGAAGAGAUAAGUGCUGAAAGCAUCUAAGCACGAAACUUGCCCCGAGAUGAGUUCUCCCUGAGACCUUGAGUCUCCUGAAGGAACGUUGAAGACGACGACGUUGAUAGGUCGGGUGUGUAAGCGCAGCGAUGCGUUGAGCUAACCGAUACUAAUGAACCGUGAGG
rnacentral:rRNA from 1 species